UACGGGGGGAGCAAGCGUUGUUCGGAAUCAUUGGGCGUAAAGCGCGCGUAGGUGGCCUCAUAAGUCCGCUGUGAAAGUCAAAGGCUCAACCUUUGAAAGCCGGUGGAUACUGUGGGGCUAGAGUCCGGAAGAGGAGAGUGGAAUUCCUGGUGUAGCGGUGAAAUGCGCAGAUAUCAGGAAGAACACCCGUGGCGAAGGCGGCUCUCUGGGACGGUACUGACGCUGAGACGCGAAAGCGUGGGGAGCAAACAGG
rnacentral:rRNA from 1 species